UGUUCCCUGCCGGGUGCGUGAUAGUCCCCUUUAAACCCACAUUUUUUACUCGGGAUGUCAGAUAUUCUGCGCUGGAUUGCAGGCCUCCCGCUCCGGCUUUGACCGUGAGUGGAUGUUGGAAGCAGCUAAGGCGCGGAGAGACAACCCACCUGCCAUUGCGUGCAGGUUAUAAAUGGGGCUACACGGCUUUGGCGGGGAUUCG
rnacentral:other from 1 species